UUUAUUUUAUUUUUCAUCAUUUUUUUUUUUGCCAAUUUUGUUGAGUUUGUUUCCUCAUUUCAUUUUUAAUUUGCUUUGUACAGCUUGAUUGUACAAAAUAAGGAUCCUUCCUCGCAUGCUGUAGGGUGGUGGUGCUGAUGCUGGAAGUACUGCUCUCCUAAUGCAUACCCUGUUCAUGACCUGGCGGGUCAGAGUGAACCUACAGCCUAUUGUUCCAGUCCUACCCAGGUACCUACAUAAAGCACAGAAACUUAAAUACAUAACCAUACCGCUGGUCUGGUGUACAGUUUUUGUUUUUUGUGGGGGUUUUUUUCUUUUCCAAUAUAAGAUAACGUAGUGAUGGCAUUCAUGCUAGUGCAGAAAUAUUACUUGAAUGCAUUUCUGAGUAUUUCACGCACCAGUACGUAGAAUAGGUAUUCAUCUUCCCGUAAAUUACUGGUUAAUAGUUUUCAAAGAAAAUGUGAAAAACAAAACAACCCGCUUGCUACAAUGCAUGAAGAGGAAGUGUGUGCACGCACUCAAACACACGGCACUGCCAACAAGGCACUGGUGUUGCACUUUUUUGGAUGUGCCUCAUGCUGCCAAAUGUCUGAAAGAACCUUGGUGCAUCCAAUAACCAUGACUUUUUCUCCAUUCUCAUUCUCCUUCCUAAGCCAGCAAACAGACUUGACCCAUCUGAACUCUGAGCCCCAUUGUAACAUAUUAUGAAGUAAGAUCAAACCUAAAUAUCUCCUGCGCUGUUCUAUAUCCGUGCAUCACCUGCACUCCUGGGCCAGACUUCCGCAUGUGCAUUGGAGUUUCUCUUUGCUGCCUUCUGGUUUAUUUUGGUUGGGUGUUUUUUUUGGGUUUUUUUUUUUAAUUAAUGUUUUGUUUUGUUUUAUUUUUUAGUUUUGGCUUUUGCUGAGUGGUGUCAUUGAAGCAUAAUGGAGGCUGCAGUUCCUAUGGCAACACAUUUGCACAUUAAUGUGUCCACCAAAUCUGAACACUUUAGAAAAGCAGUGUGUGACAGAUAAUUGCAUUUUGGGAACAUUGGGAUGGGGGGGACACAUACAUAUUAUCUUAACCAGCUGCUUGUUCGAUAAACAUAGAUGGCCUCACUGCAGCCUUCCAUAAAAAAUAAUUAGCUGCUUUAAUGAUGUCACAUUUGUGAAUUGUACAAUGCAAAAAGCAAUGCAAAGCAGAUUUGGCAUGUGUCUGUACCUAGUAUGUAUGUACAGUGCCUGCCAACAAAUGAAUAACCAAGACUACAGCUUCUUCUAGCCUGAAAUAUCAAUUUUUAUAACUUAUUUAAGCAAAUAGCAACUUUGCAUGAAUUGUCUCGGGUGGGGUGGGGGGGGACGCAGUAGGUUAUUUCUAAAAUGUGUUAUCAGAAAUAGACAAACCAUUUCUAGCUGCACUUAACUCGGGGGUGGGUGGAAGGUUUCAGCUAUCUUAUUCAAUUUAAAGGGAAACCCCCUUUCACUUAGUUCCUGGAAAAAAAUGUUACCGUUCUAUGAAGUAUAAUGCGCGUGAAAAAAAUGUAUCACAAUGAAAUCAACAAGGGAGAGAACUAUGUUAAUCACACUUGUACUUAGAAAUACAACAGAAGCAUCUAGGUAGAAAGGAGAGUUUCAGGGAGGAGGGGAGUGUUAAUGCAGGGAGCAAAUGUUAUUUUCCAAACAGAUAUUGGAAUCAAAUAAAUGGGGAAUCAUAGAGAAUGAAAGCAGGAGCGCUUAAAAAGCUUGACAGGCGGAAGAUGAGACACAUGUAAGUAAUACUGUAGUGUUGAAACCAAAAAAAACCCCUCUCCCUUUGUUUCCAGCUGAGAGUGCUUCCAGCACUGAGAUUUACCAGCGUGAAGGCCUGGAGGACAGUCGCUUGUGACCGGCUGGCACUGCUCAGUGCCAUACCAUCACAACUCUCCCUGUACAGGGACGCCCGGGAAAGUUGAGACAAAUCAACCAGAAGUGUGCAAGUGUUUUCCUUGACUCCUAAAUGAGUGCAUCCAUGCACUCUGCGGCACGUGAGGAGGCUGGAUUGGGUGAGAAUUAGCAGUGUGCCGGCCACCCCCUGUCACUCCCCGUCUGGGCGCUGUUCAGCUGCAGCGAGUGGAAGGCAGCUGACUCGACUUUAAAAGUAGAACAAGCUGCCUUGCUCAGUGCAAUGAAUGGGCCUGCACGGGGCAUAGCUAGCACCUUGCAAAUUGUCACUCAGGCUUAUGUGGCAGUAAUUUCAUCACGUAGAUAAGCCCCUGUGCAUACUGACUGCACACUGUUGGCUUGUUUGCCUUCACUUGUCCACGCGUCACCAUGUAAACAGGCCCUCCUCCUGCCAGAGCGAGUGUCUUUGAGAACUCUGAUUUACCAGCAGCAUCUCUGCAGGUCCCCUUUCAGCAAGGGAAAAAGCCUGUACUUGCUUAGCAAAUGUUAAUGAGAGGAGGAGGGCAGUCUUCCCAGGAGAGCAAUUGUGGAGCUGCUGAAAGGAUGUGGGCUCCAAUCUCCAGAGCCCAGCCCUUUCACCCCUGAGCUGGAAGGGAGGAAAAAAGAAAUCGCAGCCUCCUUCUCCCAUGCAAUCCCAGAACAAGAAGUGAAGUCAAGGCAAUAAAUGCAGGCACAGCCUUAUCAGGGCAAUCUGAAAAAAUAUUCUGUUGAUCAGUUGACCCUCUCAGUGCUGGAUUGCUACCUGUCUCAGUGUAUACCAUGCACAAAGCAGCAGUGUCCUGUGAUAUAUUGUCCCAGCAAUAAAGGGAGAAAAUUGAGAAUGGAGGGCACUCUUUCAAGAAACCAUGAGUAAUGAACAAUAUUUCUUUGUGGGCACUAUAUUUUUUAAAGUCUUUCUAUGCUGAACAUUUCUCCAAAAGCCAAAAUAUAUACUGUUGGUAGGGGUUUUUGUAUAGUGUACAGAAAUUGGCAUAAUAUUUUCUUGCUGCUUCAAGUGAUUUAUUAGCCGGAGUAAAAUAGACAAAUACAAAGUGUUAGCAAAAGUGAAAGAAAAGAACAAAACAGUUUGUGCCUUUUUAGUUUAUUUUUUCUGUUGCUGUAUAGUCGCUGCACUAAACCUUUUCCAGAAAAUAAAAAUAACUAAUCUCUUAACAAAGGGGGAAAUACAUGAAGCUGAAACCAAGCGCUUAAUUUUUUUAUUGGGGUAUUUAAUUAAAAGAAUGUUGCUGGUUUUAUUUGAUACUUGUGCCUUUGUAGUAUGCCUCAUUCAUACCGAUGAGAUAAGCCAAAACAGGUACAAAAACCAUUCUAUCCCAGAGUCAGACACACUGGUCUGUCACCACCACUUCCAAAGCUGGUUAAAAUGUAACGGGUGGGUUAUGACUGCAUCUCUGAUCAUGACACCUUGGGAGCUGCAUAAAAGAGGUGUGUUGUUAUAACAUGCAGCUUGCAAAGUGCUAUGGUAUCGCUAUACUUCUAAGUGCACGGGGGGCACAGGAAUCAAGAUGCUGCCACUCAGGCGUUUGUUGCUGUGUGACUUUGUCUUUACUGCCUUUGUGAUUUCUCUCCUGCUCUGUGACAAGUGUGCUUGGAAAAUUCAAUUUGGUCAUCAUACCAGGAAUCCCAGCUGCCUGUCCUUUCCCUCACAUUUAAUCUCCUAAAGAAAGGACAUACUGUUAAAUCUUUCCAUCUCUUUUUUUUUUUUCUCAGUGAUGACAGCAGAUGAGUUAGUAGAGCUCUACUAACCUGAGCUUUGUCCUAGGCUAUCAUGGUUGGACAUCUCCUACUGUUGUACUAACUCCAGUGAGAAUACUGAUGUAGACCAGGCUCAGGCACUUUUACUGCUGUUGGCUGGAUUUGCUGUGAGUUGGAUUAGACACCUCCAUGGCUAAAAAAUACCUGAGCCUCCUGCAGCAUCUUAUUUGUUGGACUUGCUCUGGCGGGAAAUUUUGCAAAGCCUGUUUAUGUUGGUACAGGCUUGGAGGUGGAUCAUCCUUGCAUGUUCUGUAGAACAUGCUUGUCCUUCCUGCGAGGGAGCCCAGGCUCAAGUUGCACUGUCUCCUAGUCUGGCUAUGCUGCAGGCUGCAAGAUCAUGUAGAGAAACCCAGGUAGGUUUAAAUGAGCUGACUAGGAGCACUCCAGCCUGGCCAGUGCAGAGUUCAGCCCGGCACUCUUGGUGGGGCAGUUUAGCCCCCAUAGAGCCGGGUGCUGUCAUGGCCAGAUUGGUUUUGCUCUCGGUACUGGUUCAUUCAUAACUAGCUUGGGCAUCUCCUCACUGCACUGCAGUCUGCAGUGUAGGCAAAUCCUGAGUCUGUGUAGGCAGGGCAAGCUGAAGGGUUUUUCCAUUCUGUCCAUCCAUCGCCUCUAUGUUACCUAUGUACAUAGCUCUGCAAAAGGCUUCCACAGGUCCUGUCUCUGCACAAGUCCUGGAACUCCUCCGAUGUGCAGCUUCCCAGCAGGGACAGGACACAGGUUUGCUGUCCAUCUCUCCUUUGCUGCUUCUGGACCUCCCGCUGCUUCUGGACAGAGACUGCUGAGGGGACCACGCAAGCCCUGGCAGCUGGUACUUCAGCUCUGGCACAGAAGUGCAUGGAGGGCAGUACGAAGAGCUCAGGGACGCACCAUUUGAAGGCGACAAGCAGAAGAGCUGCUAGAGGAUCUUCCCAGCGGUUCUCUGCAGCUCUGGUAGGAAGGCCAAAUGCGUAUGAAAUAAGGGACAAUGUUAAAGAUGAACUGAGCCGUUCUCCAUGUCUGUUGCCACUCCCUGUGCUGAGUGUGGGCUGUGGGUGGCACUGAGGGACUGGCAGUUGCGUGACCCCGUACACAAGCGCCAGACUGCCAGCCCCAUGUGGGAAUGCUGGGAUUCUUGUGACAAGAGUUGGGAUUUUUAUUGUAAUUUGGUUAAUUGGAUGGCUGGUGGAACGACAUCCAGCUGAGCUGGAGCUGUGUGCUUUGACUGGCAGGAGACCUUUCAGCUACGGGACUGGCAUCUGCAAACAAAUGCGUCCUCCCUGGUCCCUACCCACAUCUGCCCUGGCAGCUUCCUAGCUAAUACGUUCUAUGUCCAUGCUUCUUUUUCACUGAUUUGCUGAUCUUUAAAAUAGUUUCCCUGCCUGAGCCCUUAUCUUGCAGUGAGCUUCACUUAGGUGAAUACCUGGAUGGAGCUGACUGGGAUCAGUGCUGCGGCACCCCCUGCCCUGCUCCCCAGCAGAGCCAGGGCCUGUGAUCUCUUCUUACAGGUUUUUCAGAGAAAACAGGAAACAUUUCAGUUACGAGUCAAGGCUCAACCUUGUCCAUGGCCCAGGUCCCCCUGGGCACCACCUGCGCUGUCCUCUGUGAAGCUAGUAAGAGUUAUGUGUGCGCAUCUGUGAGAACCAGGUCCUUGGGGCCUGCUGAGGCCACCGUGCACCUUUGAUCAGUUAUCCCAGGUUUUAGGUUGGCUCCGUAGUGCUCUUGGCCUUGCUUAGUAAUGCUCAAUGGCUAAAGCAAUUAGCAACAGGGUUUCAGACUUUAGUGAGGCCUCUUGAACUAGUGGUUGCCACAAAUUCAUGCCUUGGUUUCUCUGAUGAAGUGGUCUGCACCUGCAGGCAGCUUAGAAAUGGCAGCUGUAAUUCACCUCCACUUUGAAGUGUGCUCCACAGUGCUGUGCCAUAGGCAUGUUCCAAGCACUGCGUGGAGAGAAGUGGCACUGGGCUUUGCUUGGGUCCUGUUGCUACAGGGUGUGGACAAUAUGUUUCAGUACCUCUUUAGCACUUCCCAGGUCUCUACCUGCACACAAGACUGUGAGCCCUUCUGGGUGCAGUCCUACAUAAGGUGUAAUAAGAUUUGACAGUAUCGCCUUUCUGUACAUCUAUGACAUGAAACUUGUUUUAACUGGGAAUAAGUUUUCCUUCCAAGAAUCAAGUCUGUGAAUAAUCUGCAGAGCCUCCUCAACUGACUUUUUAAAAAAUUGCUAAUUGGAAAAUACACGUCAGUUGAUUACUCAAAGAUGCAUGGUUUUAAAGUAAGUAUGUGUGUAGCAACCUGGAAUUCAGUGUAGAAUAAUAGACAACGAGGGCUAGAAGGGAGCUCAGGAGCUCAUCUAGCUCGAAGUGGCACCGUGCCCAACUAGAUCAUUCCAGCCAAGGCUUUAAGAUAGACCUUAAUCUCCAAGGACAGAGAUUUUACCACCUCCCUGGGUUACCCCGUUCCAGUGCUUCACCACCCUCUUAGUUGGGAUGUUUUUCCUAAUGCCUAAACUUCCCUUGCUGCAACUUGAGGCCAUUGCUCCUUGUUCUGUCACCUGCCAUCACUGAGAACAAUGUAGCUGAACCUUGUCCAGAGCCGAAUGGUUUUUGAUUGGUAGUUUGUACAGUUACAGGAUGAAGCUGUUUUUAAGAAGCACUUGUUUGAAACAAAAACAUGAAUGUACCAAAAUGUGAAAUGUAAAAUAUUGUAAUGAUGGCUGAUGCACCUGGGAUCUGAACGGGUAACAGCAUUGACUUUAUUUGUGCUAAACUCCACAUAAAAACAGUGUGCGAACUGUACUGCAUCAGUGUCAAUUUGCUGCAAAAAUACUGUAUACUUGAAUCCAAAGUACAAUGUAUAGCUAAUUCGUGUGAAACUAGUCCAAUAUUCCUCGAAAGGAGCAACAGACAAACUGCCCUUCUUGUCUGUGCUGUUGCUUUACUAUCUGUAAAGUGGGGAAAAUCAGGUUUCCUUUGGUAAAGUUCUUUGAGAUCUAGAGUGAUCCAACAUGUAUGAGAGGGGCAGGGAUCUUAUAGGGUGCUCAUGAGGUCCAAGCCUAUCCUGGGAUGAAAAUUUUCCUGUUGACUUCAGUGGGAGUGGAAGAUGCUCAGAAGGCAAGAUCAGGCCUUUACAACCUCUUCAUACUGCCGCUGCAGCAGUGACAGCGUUCCCAUCCACGUCAGUGCGAGAAGCAUCAGGCCCCAUCUGAUCCAGAACAAUAUUGUCCAUGAAAAUUGGUUGCUGAGAGGUCUCAGCAAAAUUAAGACUUAACAAAAAAUAACUGUCCUUACUGUUGCCCUUCGCACCACUGAGCCUAAUCCGUGCAUGAUCUCUUUCUUCUGCCUUUGAUUUGCCCAGAGCUUAUGGCUGAAAUGCAGAUGAAUAGAUAGAUAAACCCUCGCUGCAAGGUUUUUAGAAUUGCUAAAUACACAAGGGCAAGUGCCAGCUCCAGUUACCUCUGAAUUAACAAUCUACUUUUAAAUUUGCUGUGAGCCUGAGUUCCAGGAGAGCCUGGGAUAAUGCUGCUGGUAUGCACAGUCUAAAGUCUAAUAAAGGCAUUUCAGUUCCAAGCUAACUGGAGUGCUGUGGUUGCAUACAGUUUGCCACCUAAAGAAAAAUGAAUGGAUGUGAGCUAUUCAGUAAGCUUACAAGUGCAAAAGGCUGAAAUCUCCCCCUUUUUUUGUCCUCGAGCUAUAUCCACUUGGAACCUUGUGCAGAGAAAUCGAUGCCCUUGUGCUUGUAACCAAAGGGUUUUUACCUCACCUCAGUAAGAGGAUGUGCAUGUAGAGAUUAUUUUCCUAGCUUGUGCCAUGGAAAGACUGUUGCCUGAAUGAGCUUUCUAAGCAUCUUUCACCAAAACAAAAGUAAGUGCGAGUGCAAUGUGCACAACACAGAGUUGAGUUGCAAUAGGCCGUUUGUCACUUAAAACAGUAAGCUAGAAGUCAGUAUUUGGAGUGUGUGAAUGUACUGUUCAGUGUUUGCUUUGUUUUACCUGAUGGUUGGUUUUCGGGGGAGGAAAGAAGUUAUUGUGAAUUGUAAAAGAUGGGAAGUCACUGAAAGCAACAGUGUAACAAAUACACCAUGCUGCUGUACAUUACUUUAUAAGCAAUGCGUUUAAAUGUGUGAGCAGCUACUGCUGUGUGAGCUUAUCCAACUUACAGCUAACAUUGUUUCCAAUUUCCUUUAGUCCAAAGCCAAGUUUAAUGAUUUGACUUGUGCUGUGUAUAUUUCUUUUAUUUUACAGUUGGGGUCUAACAAGAGCAUCCCCUGCUUUAUGUGUUGUACUUAUGAUUGUGCUGGGCAAUUAGCUUUAAGCAGUUUGAUGUGCGCUUGCGUUAUUUUAUUAAGGCAAAAGCCUUCUUGAGCCUAACGCUGUUAAGAUGAAAUCACUUCUUUGUAGUGUUGACCAGGUCGCGUGGUGUGCGUUUGCAAAGACCGAAAUGAAUGGGGCUAUAGCUCUUAGCAAAACUGCUAGUGUCUGAGCCUGUGCUCUGUGUACAAGUUAUGGGCUACAAGACUUAACCUGUACCUAAGUGGAAAUUCAGAUUCGUUGUGCAUCGUCACAAUUGUACAAGACCAGUGGGAAAUGAGUCUUGUGCUUUCUGUGCUCAGCAUGGUAGGUACUAUGGGGCUGGACUAGAUGACUCGUAUGUACUGUACUUUGUAAUGGGAAGCAGCUGCAGGUCCUCAAAGAAAUAGUCUCCUAUGAACAUACCUUAAAACAGCAAUAAUAACCACUGCAGAGAAAUGAGUAUGUCUGGUAGGCAGGAGGAGGGUGGGGAAAGAACUCAUGAAAAUACGGUUAUGAACACGCUGGCAAUCAUCACGUGCUGCUAUUGUUAAGUGGGGAACAGAAUUAGUACUAUAAUGGGCCAUUGGGUCUAUGUGACUUGGGUUCAGAUUUGAAGUGAGCUUGUUGAUGCACCCACUUAAAGCCUCUUUAAAUCUCCAAAGUUCAUAUACAGGGCAUUAUCUUUGUAGUAAAAUGCGAUAGAACAAGUUACAGCAAGUCAGGACGGCCCAUUCAGCAGAUAGACGAGAGCACUCUCGAAGUAGCACGGAAGUAACCAUCUGGUUCUGCAACCUCUUAACGCAGUGUAAACUACGGCUGACUCGGCAAUAGCAGAAAAUAGGAUACACGACUGUACUUUUCCUCUGGCAGCAAACAAUUGGCACUCUUGGAAACAUUUGAAAACUCUCCACAUGUAUUGAUUCAGACCAGUUACCACAGCACGUCAGGACAUGCUAUAUAUGCAAGUUACUCCUCCGUACAUUUAGGCAUUUGAGUUCCAACCUAUAAACUGCUAGUCUCAGUGUAGUGACCACUACUCAACUUCCGUUAGCAGAAUACUGAAACACUACGUCCAGUCAGCUCUUAAAUAAAUGCAGUGUGUCUGCAGGAAGAGUCCAGGGAGGUACUGUAAAUGAAUGACUUGUAGGUACUUAAGUUCUGUUCCUGAUGGCCGCUGUAACUGUGAAAAUUAACCAGACCUGCUGUGAUAAAUUUGGUUAUAUAAGGUUUAUUUGGUUAAUUUUUUAUAAGUGAAAACUGAAAAGAUGAAAGAGAAUUGUAAUAUGAAAGCGACUGCUGUAAAUAAUGUAUGAAUGAAUAAAAUCUAAAACUUAUGUCAGA